rnacentral:rRNA from 1 species
AGUGAACGCUGGCGGUAGGCCUAACACAUGCAAGUCGAACGGCAGCACAGUAAGAGCUUGCUCUUACGGGUGGCGAGUGGCGGACGGGUGAGGAAUACAUCGGAAUCUACUUUUUCGUGGGGGAUAACGUAGGGAAACUUACGCUAAUACCGCAUACGACCUACGGGUGAAAGCAGGGGAUCUUCGGACCUUGCGCGAUUGAAUGAGCCGAUGUCGGAUUAGCUAGUUGGCGGGGUAAAGGCCCACCAAGGCGACGAUCCGUAGCUGGUCUGAGAGGAUGAUCAGCCACACUGGAACUGAGACACGGUCCAGACUCCUACGGGAGGCAGCAGUGGGGAAUAUUGGACAAUGGGCGCAAGCCUGAGCCAGCCAUACCGCGUGGGUGAAGAAGGCCUUCGGGUUGUAAAGCCCUUUUGUUGGGAAAGAAAAGCAGCAGGUUAAUACCCCGCUGUUCUGACGGUACCCAAAGAAUAAGCACCGGCUAACUUCGUGC